rnacentral:rRNA from 2 species
UGGAAGAUUGCGGCGGACGGGUGAGUAACGCUGGGUAACCUGCCCAUAAGACUGGAAACCUCCGGGAAACCGGGGCUAUUACCGGAUAAGUUUUUGAACCGCAUGGUUCGAAAUUGAAAGGCGGCUUCGGCUGACGCUUAUGGAUGGACCCGCGUCGCAUUAGCUAUUUGGUGAGGUAACGGCUCACAUCAACUAUGCUUAGCCGACCUGAGAGGGUGAUCGGCCACACUGGGACUGAGACACGGCCCAGACUCCUACGGGAGGCAAUAUUGCGGAAUCUUCCGCAAUGGACGAAAGUCUGACGGAGCAACGCCGCGUGAGUGAUGAACUUUCGGGUUUAAAACUGUUGUUAGGGAAGAACAUGCUAGUUGAAUAUGCUGGCACCUUGACGGUACCUAACCAGAAAGCCACGGCUAACUACGUGCCAACAGCCGCGGUAAUACGUAGGUGGCAAACGUUAUCCGGAAUUAUUGGGCGUAAAGCGCGCGCAGGUGGUUUCUUAAAAUCUGAUGGGAAAGCCCACGGCUCAGCCGUGGAGGGUCAUUGGAAACUGGGAGACUUGAGUGCAGAAAGGAAAGUGGAAUUCCUUAUGUGCCGGUUCUGCGUAGAGAUAUGGAGGAACACGAGUGCCGAAGCGACUUUCUGAUCUGUAACUGACACUGAGGCGCGAAAGCGUGGGAUAGCAUACAGGAUUUCCCCCUGGUAGUCCACGCCGUAAACGAUGGAGUGCUCAGUGUUAGGAGGGUUUCCGCCCUUUAGUGCUGUAGUUCACGCUCUUAGGCACUCCCCCUCGGGGAGUACAGCCGUCAAGUCUAAUUACUCGAAGCACUUGACAGCGGCCGGAAC